CCAGAUGCGGAGCUUCAGGGACCUUCCCUGAUGUUGAUCCUGGCGACCGAAUGAAAAUCGCGGCAUCGAUGAGACUCGGAAGCUUGCCGACCCAAACGGGAACAUGACCGAAGUGCAAGGAAGGUGCCCCCACGGGCGUCCCCCCCCCUUGCUGCAGGGAUGUGAAAAUAUCCAGGAAAAUUUGCCUGUCUUAACUUUAGGAUUGGCCCCUGUGAAAAGGACAAAAUGACCGCAGGUGUGGACACAUCAGAUGAGUGGCUAUGAGGCACCAAAAGAGCAGCAUGGCUGCUGCAGCUACGCUGAAGGCAGAUGUCGAGUCCACUGUAAAGAGCCAGCCAGACUGUGCAGAGGUUAACCAGGUGGCAGCGCGGAUCAUUUAGUUACUCACCAGACAUCCCUUCUGCCCUGCUUCCAAACCAUGCAAAAGAAGAAUGGACAGUGUGACAGACGUGGUGCCGGCAGUACCUGGAGGCGUAAUGCAGGUGACCUCGGCCAAGCGGGUGGCUCCCACCCAUCCCUACCACAGCAGGAGAAAUGGCCAGACAAGGAAACAUCUCCUGUCCUGGGACAGCAUGGGUGGCCGGGCAGCCGCAAUGCCAACUACUCUCCGUGGAUUAUUUACUGGUACCCUCCCUGCUCAGUGGCUCCCCGGGUGGC